CAUCUAUCACCUAGGCUGGAGUGCAGUGGUGCAAUCUCAGCUCACUGCAAGCUCCGCCUCCCAGGUUCACACCAUUCUCCUGCCUCAGCCUCCUGAGUAGCUGGGACUACAGGCGCCCACCACUAUGCCCGGAUAAUUUUUUUUUUUUUUUUUUUUUUUUUUAAGUAGAGAUGGGGUUUCACCAUGUUAACCAGGAUGGUCUCGGUCUCCUGACCUUGUGAUCCACCUGCCUCGGCCUCCUAAAGUGCUGGGAUUACAGACGUGAGCCAUUGUGCCCAGCCUAAUUUUUGUAUUUUUAAUAGAGACGGGGUUUCACCAUAUUGGCCAGGCUGAUCUCGAACUCCUGACCUCGUGAUACGCCUGCCCUGGCCUCCCAAACUGUUGGGGUUACAGGCGUGAGCCACUGCACCCGGCCCACUAUUGUUUUUUGUUUUUUGGUUUUUUUUUUGUUUUUGAGACAUAGUCUUGCUUUGUCGCCCAGGCUGGAGUGCAGUGGCCGGAUCUCAGCUCACUGCAAGCUCCGCCUUCCGGGUUUAUGCCAUUCUGCCUCAGCCUCCCGAGUAGCUGGGACUACAGGCGCCCGCCACCUCGCCCGGCUAGUUUUUUAUGUAUUUUUAGUAGAGACGGGGUUUCACCGUGUUCGCCAGGAUGGUCUCGAUCUCCUACCUUGUGAUCCACCCGUCUCGGCCUCCCAAAGUGCUGGGAUUACAGGCUUGAGCCACCGCGCCCGGCCAUAUUGUUUUUUAUCAUUAUUAUUAGAGGACGUUUCAUAAAGUGAAUGAAUAUAUGGGCUUUCGUAGCCAAUCCUAGAGGAUGGGAGUCCCUCCCUGCCUUCUAGCUUGUACUUGCCCCAUUGGGAGCCUCAGUUUUCUCAUCUGUAAAAGGGAAAUAAUGUCUGCUUCUGGGGUAUAAGAAGGAUGAGAUGCAAAUAAAACGUUUAGCUCAGGCUCUGCAUGUAGGGAGUGGUCAGGUACAGGGGCCAUGGUGAUGAUGAUGAUGGCUGGGGGGACAGGGACUGUCUCCUGUCUUGUCUGGUGACAUCCCCUUCCGAACAGAGACUUGGAGCCUGCAAGAGUUUCGGCAACUGUUUGUUGAUGCUGCAAGAUCUCUGUGCCCCUGGCGUGUUUGUCUGUCUGUCCUUCAGCGUGCCUUGCCCUCUGUGCUCCAUGGCCCUGUUCGUGAUCAUCGGUGUCCUGUCCACCCACGUGGAUGUCCUGUCACGUCCGUGGGGGGCUCGGAGCGACUGGGCUGUGGGGGCCGGGGACUGGGAGCGGGAGCUGAGGGAGGGAGGGAAGGAGGGAGGCAGGGAGGCAGCGUUUGCCUGGCCCUCGUGAUCCCCCCCUCCUCCUCUCUUACCGAGGACCCUCAGCGCAGCCACUUCUCCAGGCACUCGGCAGAGAGAGCGCGCGUAGGCGUUGCCCUGGCAACGCCGCGAUGCCCAGCAACAAGUCCGCGGCGUGUGUCACGUGCUCGGCGCGGACCAAUCCGAGGGCCCGCCGGGAAGCAGGAGCAAUCGCAAAAAUUGGCAAUGCGAAGAAACAGGUACCAGCCAGGACACCUGAACCAACUUGGAGCUCAGGAACCCAGGAGGGGAUUGGAGAGAGUGCGGAGACUCCGUGGUCCACAAUGA
rnacentral:lncRNA from 10 species